rnacentral:rRNA from 1 species
UCCGAAGGGAGCUAUCGUUGUUCGGAAUCACUGGGCGUAAAGCGCACGUAGGCGGAUUUGUCAGUCGGGGGUGAAAUCCCGAGGCUCAACCUCGGAACUGCCUCCGAUACAGCAAAUCUCGAGUCCGGGAGAGGUGGGUGGAAUUCCUAGUGUAGAGGUGAAAUUCGUAGAUAUUAGGAAGAACACCAGUGGCGAAGGCGGCCCACUGGCCCGGUACUGACGCUGAGGUGCGAAAGCGUGGGGAGGAAACAGG